rnacentral:rRNA from 1 species
AAGGAGUCUAACAUGUGCGCAAGUCAUUGGGUUAAUAAAACCUAAAGGCAAAAUAAAAGUAAAGAAAGCUUUGCUUUAUUAGGGAGGAUGAUUAUUAACAAAUAUGUUGUAAUCCGCACUCCCGGGGUGUCUAUUACUCAUUGCGAGUAUGGGCACACCUAGAGCGUACACGUUGGGACCCGAAAGGUGGUGAACUAUGCCUGGCCAGGAUGAAGCCAGGGGAAACCCUGGUGGAGGUCCGUAGCGAUUCUGACGUGCAAAUCGAUCGUCAGAGCUAGGUAUAGGGGCGAUAGACUUAUCGAACCAUCUAGUAGCUGGUUCCCUCCGAAGUUUCCCUCAGGAUAGCUGGUGUCCUUGAUGAGACGAGUCUCAUCUGGUAAAGCGAAUGAUUAGAGGCCCUUGGGGUCGAAACGACCUCAACCUAUUCUCAAACUUUAAAUGGAUGAGAGCUCUGGCUUGCUUAAAAAGUGAAGCCAGAGACUCGGAUCCAAGAUACCAAGUGGGCCAAUUUUGGUAAG